AACGCACCUUGCGCUCCUUGGUAUUCCGAGGAGCAUGCCUGUUUGAGUGUCAUUAAUAUAUAUCAACCUCUUCAGCUUUUGCUUGCUUGAGUGUUGGAUGUGGGGGUUUUUUUUGUUGGCUUCUACGAGAGGUCAACUCCCCUAAAAUGUAUUAGCAGAACGAUUUGUUGAUCCUGUUCAUUGGUGUGAUAAUUAUCUAUGCUAUUGACAGGAAAGCAAGUUCAGCUUCUAAUAGUCCAUUGACUUGGACAAAUUUUCAUUAAUGUGACCUCAAAUCAGGUAGGACUACCCGCUGAACUUAA
rnacentral:misc_RNA from 1 species